rnacentral:rRNA from 1 species
CAGCCGCCGCGGGAAUACGGAGGGGGCUAGCGUUGUUCGGAAUUACUGGGCGUAAAGCGCACGUAGGCGGCUUGGUAAGUUAGAGGUGAAAGCCCGGAGCUCAACUCCGGAAUUGCCUUUAAGACUGCCGAGCUAGCAGGUGAGAGAGGUAAGUGGAAUUCCGAGUGUAGAGGUGAAAUUCGUAGAUAUUCGGAAGAACACCAGUGGCGAAGGCGGCUUACUGGCUCAUACUGGACGCUGAGGUGCGAAAGCGUGGGGAGCAAACAGGAUUAGAUACCCGCGUAGUCCCUGUCUAUUAUAC